GAUGAACGCUGGCGGCGUGCCUAAUACAUGCAAGUCGAGCGAACGGACGAGAAGCUUGCUUCUCUGAUGUUAGCGGCGGACGGGUGAGUAACACGUGGAUAACCUACCUAUAAGACUGGGAUAACUUCGGGAAACCGGAGCUAAUACCGGAUAAUAUUUUGAACCGCAUGGUUCAAAAGUGAAAGACGGUCUUGCUUUCACUUAUAGAUGGAGCCGCGCUGCAUUAGCUAGUUGGUAAGGUAACGGCUUACCAAGGCAACGAUGCAUAGCCGACCUGAGAGGGUGAUCGGCCACACUGGAACUGAGACACGGUCCAGACUCCUACGGGAGGCAGCAGUAGGGAAUCUUCCGCAAUGGGCGAAAGCCUGACGGAGCAACGCCGCGUGAGUGAUGAAGGUCUUCGGAUCGUAAAACUCUGUUAUUAGGGAAGAACAUAUGUGUAAGUAACUGUGCACAUCUUGACGGUACCUAAUCAGAAAGCCACGGCUAACUACGUG
rnacentral:rRNA from 1 species